rnacentral:rRNA from 1 species
UGGGGAAUAUUGCACAAUGGGCGCAAGCCUGAUGCAGCCAUGCCGCGUGUGUGAAGAAGGCCUUCGGGUUGUAAAGCACUUUCAGCGAGGAGGAAGGUGGUGAGCUUAAUACGCUCAUCAAUUGACGUUACUCGCAGAAGAAGCACCGGCUAACUCCGUGCCAGCAGCCGCGGUAAUACGGAGGGUGCAAGCGUUAAUCGGAAUUACUGGGCGUAAAGCGCACGCAGGCGGUUUGUUAAGUCAGAUGUGAAAUCCCCGGGCUCAACCUGGGAACUGCAUUUGAAACUGGCAAGCUAGAGUCUCGUAGAGGGGGGUAGAAUUCCAGGUGUAGCGGUGAAAUGCGUAGAGAUCUGGAGGAAUACCGGUGGCGAAGGCGGCCCCCUGGACGAAGACUGACGCUCAGGUGCGAAAAGCGUGGGGAGCAAAACAGGAUUAGAUACCCUGGUAGUCCACGCUGUAAAACGAUGUCGAUUUUGGAGGUUGUGCCCUUGAGGCGUGGCUUCCGGAGCUAACGCGUUAAAUCGACCGCCUGGGGAGUACGGCCGCAAGGUUAAAACUUAAAUGAAUUGAC